rnacentral:rRNA from 1 species
AACCCGCUUCCUCUUUUGCAACUAGCUUUGAAGCUGGGCACACUGAGGAGACCGCCACUAAUAAAGUGGAGGAAGGAGCGGGCCACGGCAGGUCAGUAUGCCCCGAAUCUCCCGGGCCACACGCGAGCUGCAAUGGCAGGUACAAUGGGUUCCGACCUCGAAAGGGGAAGGCAAUCUCGAAAGCCUGCCGUAGUUGGGAUCGAGGGCUGCAACCCGCCCUCGUGAACAUGGAAUCCCUAGUAAUCGCGUGUCAUUAGCGCGCGGUGAAUAC